CCUACGGGAGGCAGCAGUGGGGAAUAUUGGACAAUGGGCGAAAGCCUGAUCCAGCAAUGCCGCGUGAGUGAUGAAGGCCUUAGGGUCGUAAAGCUCUUUUACCCGGGAUGAUAAUGACAGUACCGGGAGAAUAAGCCCCGGCUAACUCCGUGCCAGCAGCCGCGGUAAUACGGAGGGGGCUAGCGUUGUUCGGAAUUACUGGGCGUAAAGCGUGCGUAGGCGGUUAUUCAAGUCAGAGGUGAAAGCCCGGGGCUCAACCCCGGAACGGCCUUUGAAACUAGGUAGCUAGAAUCUUGGAGAGGUCAGUGGAAUUCCGAGUGUAGAGGUGAAAUUCGUAGAUAUUCGGAAGAACACCAGUGGCGAAGGCGACUGACUGGACAAGUAUUGACGCUGAGGCACGAAAGCGUGGGGAGCAAACAGGAUUAGAUACCCUGGUAGUCCACGCCGUAAACGAUGAUAACUAGCUGUUCGGGUACUUGGUAUCUGAGUGGCGCAGCUAACGCAUUAAGUUAUCCGCCUGGGGAUACGGUCGCAGAUUAAACUCAAAGGAAUUGACGG
rnacentral:rRNA from 1 species